AUGUGGAAGAGAGAAGGAGUCUCUAUUCUAGAGAAACACAGACAUUCGUUCAGUGAGAGAAACCAAACUCUACACAUCAGCAACAUAACCAGCUCCGAGUACGGCUCGUACAGCUGUAUUGCUUCAAAUGCAUAUGGAGAAUCAGAAAAGCACACAUAUAUUACCGGAAAUGGCACUAGAGAUGAAACUCAGUCUGAUCAAACUGUGCUUUCAAGUGGACUUACACUCACUUGUGUUUUGGGACUGUGCCUCGUGUUCUACUGCCUUUACAAAUACCACCACAGUAAGAUUUUCUCUUAUUUUGCUUUAGCAAAAUAACAACUCUUAGUUUAUCGAACCCACAUCCUCCAUUAUUUGGUUUUAUUCUGUAACUCAGUUUAUCAGUCUCAAAACCUAUGAAUAGUAUGAACUACAGAAAAAAAAAAAAACAUUUUCUCUCAACAAAACUCACCAGCUACUCUGUAGACUAUCCUGAAAUAUAUAGCAUGUAUAGUAUUAUAAAAUGCACUGUGAAAAAUUAGCUUUUGUUUAGUGUAUUUUACAUUUGGUAUACUUUUAACACUAAAGAGUGGACAUUGGCAGAACUAGAUAAAGGUUGAAAAAAAUUCUGAGCUGCAACUAAUAUUAUAAAGUAUCCUAUAAUUUAUAUCCUCACUCUUUAAUACACAGGCGAUGCAGACAAGGUCCAUGGAAUUUAUCAGGUAAUGUACAAAAAGCCAUAAACAUAUAAAUAAUGAUUUCAGUAUAAACAUUUUGAUGGACAUUAAUAUGAUUAGCAUUUAUUAUCUUUAACUUAAAGAUCCCAUAAAAAUAAAUACUGCAGUUUUGUGGCUGUUAUUCCCUCCUUGUUAGCUUAAAGGCAUAGUUCACCCAAAAAUGAAAAUUAUGUCAUUAAUAACUCACCCUCAUGUCGUUCCAAACCUGUAAGACCUCCGUUCAUCUUCGGAACACAGUUUAAGAUAUUUUAGAUUUAGUCCAAAAGCUCUCUGUCCCUCCAUUGAAGCUGUGUGGACGGUAUACUGUCCAUGUCCAGAAAGGUAAGAAAAACAUCAUCAAAGUAGUCCAUGUGACAUCAGAGGGUCAGUUAGAAUUUGCUGAAGCAUCAAAAAUACAUUUUGGUCCAAAAAUAGCAAAAACGACGACCUUAUUCAGCAUUGUCUUCUCUUCUGUGUCUGUUGUGAGGAAGAGUUCAAAACAAAGCAGUCUGGAUAUCCGGUUCGCGAACGAAUCACUCGAUGUAACCGGAUCUUUUUGAACCAGUUCACCAAAUCGAACUGAAUCGUUUUAAACUGUUUGCGUCUCCAAUACGCAUUAAUCCACAAAUGACUUAAGAUGUUAACUUUUUUAAUGUGGCUGACACUUCAUCUGACGAGUCAAUUGCUCGUUCGUUAUCUGGCUCGGCUCUGUGUUUAUCUUCAGUUCUCUCUUCACAGCAGUUCAGUCAGUGUACUGUUUGAGUAAAUGAACUACUCGGGGAUAUUGGUUUGUUUUAACUCAGAGGAAGUGUCAGCCACAUUAAAAAAGUCAACAGCUUAAGUCAUUUGUGGAUUAAUGCUUAUUGGAGACGCGAACCGUUUCAAAAGAUUCAGUUCGAUUUGGUGAACUGGUUCAAGAAGAUCCAGUUACAUCGAGUGAUUAGUUCGCAAAACGGAUAUCAUUGAACUGUUGUGUUUUGAACUCUCUCACAACAGACACAGAAGAGAAGACAAUGCUGAAUAAAGUCGUAGUUUUUGUUAUUUUUUUAUCAAAAUGUAUUUUCGAUGCUUCAAAAAAAUUCUAACCGACCCUCUGAUGUCAUACUACUUUGAUGAUGUUGUUCUUUCCUUUCUGGACAUGGACAGUAUACUGUCCACACAGUUUCAAUGGAGGGACUGAGAGCUCUCGGACUAAAUCUAAAAUAUCUUAAACUGUGUUCCGAAGAUAAACGUAGGUCUUAAAUGUUUGGAACAGCAUAAGGGUUAGUU
rnacentral:lncRNA from 1 species